rnacentral:rRNA from 1 species
UACGUAGGGUGCAAGCGUUGUCCGGAUUUAUUGGGCGUAAAGAGCUCGUAGGCGGCUUAGAAAGUCAGGUGUGAAAACUCUGGGCUCAACCCAGAGACGCCACUUGAUACUUCUAUGGCUUGAGUUCGGUAGGGGACCAUGGAAUUCCUGGUGUAGCGGUGAAAUGCGCAGAUAUCAGGAGGAACACCGAUGGCGAAGGCAGUGGUCUGGGCCGAUACUGACGCUGAGGAGCGAAAGCGUGGGGAGCGAACAGG